rnacentral:rRNA from 1 species
UACAGAGGGUGCAAGCGUUGUUCGGAAUUAUUGGGCGUAAAGGGCGUGUAGGCGGUUUGCUAAGUCAUGUGUGAAAUCCCUCGGCUUAACCGAGGAACUGCCUGCCAGACUGCUUGGCUUGAGACCGGGAGAGGUGAGUGGAAUUCCCAGUGUAGCGGUGAAAUGCGUAGAUAUUGGGAGGAACACCAGUGGCGAAGGCGGCUCACUGGACCGGAACUGACGCUGAGGCGCGAAAGCGUGGGGAGCAAACAGG